UAAACGAUGUCAACUGGUUGUUGGGGGAGUGAAAUCCCUUAGUAACGAAGCUAACGCGUGAAGUUGACCGCCUGGGGAGUACGGUCCGCAAGAUUAAAACUCAAAGGAAUUGACGGGGACCCGCACAAGCGGUGGAUGAUGUGGAUUAAUUCGAUGCAACGCGAAAAACCUUACCUACCCUUGACAUGUCCAGAAUCCUGCAGAGAUGCGGGAGUACCCGAAAGGGAAUUGGAACACAGGUGCUGCAUGGCUGUCGUCAGCUCGUGUCGUGAGAUGUUGGGUUAAGUCCCGCAACGAGCGCAACCCUUAUCAUUAGUUGCUACGCAAGGGCACUCUAAUGAGACUGCCCGGUGACAAACCGGAGGAAGGUGGGGAUGACGUCAAGUCCUCAUGGCCCUUAUGGGUAGGGCUUCCAC
rnacentral:rRNA from 1 species